ACAGAUCGUUCAGAGUUUGAUCCUGGCUCAGGAUGAACGCUAGCGACAGGCUUAACACAUGCAAGUCGAGGGGCAGCGGGGAUUUAGUUUACUAAAUUUGCCGGCGACCGGCGCACGGGUGAGUAACACGUAUGCAACCUGCCCAUCGCAGGGGGAUAAUCGGAAGAAAUUCCGUCUAAUACCGCAUAAUAUGACAGGAAGGCAUCUUUCUGUUCUUAAAGAAUAUCGGCGAUGGAUGGGCAUGCGGCGCAUUAGCUAGUUGGUGAGGUAACGGCUCACCAAGGCGACGAUGCGUAGGGGUUCUGAGAGGAAGGUCCCCCACACUGGUACUGAGACACGGACCAG
rnacentral:rRNA from 1 species